rnacentral:rRNA from 1 species
GAUGAACGCUGGCGGCGUGCCUAAUACAUGCAAGUCGAGCGAACAGAUGAGGAGCUUGCUCCUCUGACGUUAGCGGCGGACGGGUGAGUAACACGUGGAUAACCUACCUAUAAGACUGGGAUAACUUCGGGAAACCGGAGCUAAUACCGGAUAAUAUAUUGAACCGCAUGGUUCAAUAGUGAAAGACGGUUUUGCUGUCUCUUAUAGCUGGAUCCGCGCCGCAUUAGCUAGUUGGUAAGGUAACGGCUUACCAAGGCAACGAUGCGUAGCCGACCUGAGAGGGUGAUCGGCCACACUGGAACUGAGACACGGUCCAGACUCCUACGGGAGGCAGCAGUAGGGAAUCUUCCGCAAAGGGCGAAAGCCUGACGGAGCAACGCCGCGUGAGUGAUGAAGGUCUUCGGAUCGUAAAACUCUGUUAUUAGGGAAGAACAAAUGUGUAAGUAACUAUGCACGUCUUGACGGUACCUAAUCAGAAAGCCACGGCUAACUACGUG